rnacentral:rRNA from 1 species
AGCUCCAAUAGUGUAUAUUAAAGUUGCUGCAGUUAUAAAGCUCGUAGUUGGAUUUCUGGGGCCGUGAGUAGGCGUGUGGCUACGGCUGCUGCCCGCUCGCUGUCUCAUCCACCUGUCAACGUUGCCCGGGAUUCAUUUCUCGGCUUCGGGCCCAGGUACUUUACCUUUCUUUUUAUUUUUGAGCAAACUAUAGUGUUUCAGGCAGGCGUGGACCGGAAUACAUUAGCAUGGAAUAAUAUCAAAGGACCGUUUAUCCUAUUUGUUGGUUUGUGGAUGCGGUAAUGGUUAAUAGGGAUAUAUCUUAUUUGAGGAGGCAUUAGUAUUUAAUUUCCAGAGGUGAAAUUCUUUGAAAUUUAUUUAAAGACUAACUUAUGCGAAAGCAUUUGCCAAGAAUGUUUUC